GCAUUUAAAGGCCCAGUGCAGUCAACAUUUGGAUUUUUGUGUUUUAUAUAUAUUUCCACACUAUGAGGUUGGAAUAAUACUGUGAAAUUGUGAAAAUUAUGAUCAUGCCUUUUUAGUGUAAGAGCUGUUUGGAAUGUCAGUCUGUUUUGGUUGGGUGACUUUUUGGCCUGAAUGGUGACAUAUCCAGGAGCUAAAUUUAUUAAAAAUAUUAUCCAGUUUGUUUUUGAACAUUUGAAUUGAAAACAAUGACAGUAAGGUACCGAAUUGUUACCCAGAAAAGAUUCAAUAUUGAGAAACAAAUAGCUACAUUGAACUUUUAAUACAGAUGUCUUUCAAGAUAUAAUAUUUUCUAUUGUCCCGUAAAAUCAAAUUCCUUGCUCACGUAAGAACCUGAAGUCAUCAGGAACCUCUUUGUCUUGGUAUUAAUGGACAUUUUUCAUGUCUAGAGGCUGAUCCAUCCCUCUGGGCAGUGUAUAUUAGAGGCUGAUCCAUCCCUCUGGGUAGUGGAUAUUAGAGGCUGAUCCAUACCUCUGGGUAGUGGAUAUUAGAGGAAGAUUAUGUUAAUUCCCUUUUAAUGUAGGAGCUGCUUGAAAGAAACCGCCUGACAUUUCAAUCUGUUUUGGUGGGAGGAGUUUUGGCCUGCCCUGUGACAUCACCCGGUGAUACAUUUCAAAUAGAAACAGUUUCAAACCUCUCUGCCAAUAACAGCUAGUUUAAAGUUUUCCCCAACUCCACUCAGACCUCUACUAGACAGUCCCAGCUAAUUUCCUGCUUGACAAGUUGCUCUAUUUGUGAAGAAGCUAUAUUUGUAAAAAAAAAAAAAAAAAUGUUUUUAUUGAAAACAUUCACAGUAAGUUACUUAAUUGUUCCCCAGAAAUGAUUUGAUAUUGAGAUAAAAACUGCGGCAUUGUACUUUGAAUACUGAUGUCUUUGAAGAUAUAUUAUUGUCUAGUGUAGGCUUUUGCGGUAUACCGUGUAUACUGUGUACCGGGGUGUUAUGAAAUAGCCACGAGAUGGUUUUUCAAUACCGUCAAUACUGUUGAAUCUAUUUCUUUGAAGUUUUUCUAUACAGUUUCAUAUUUGUAGCUACUUUUUAAGUAAAUACCUGCAGUCAACUUGUGCAAUAUGUCAGAAGGUGAAGCAGGUUGCAUUCUUCAUUUCACCUGUCACAUUAUUUGACAUUAUUAAGCUUACCGUAGUUCACCAGAAUAGUGAGCCAGUCACGUUUUACUUUAUAAAUAGCACAACUGGUGAGAGCGGGAGCCGGUGAGUCAAGCUGUGUAUUGACAGUGGUUGCGUUUUAUAUUGAAAGUCACCCGUUGUUUUUUGCUUCAACAGAGUUGUCAG
ensembl:lncRNA